rnacentral:rRNA from 1 species
CGCCGUAAACGAUGUCUACUUGGAGGUUGUGCCCUUGAGGCGUGGCUUCCGGAGCUAACGCGUUAAGUAGACCGCCUGGGGAGUACGGCCGCAAGGUUAAAACUCAAAUGAAUUGACGGGGGCCCGCACAAGCGGUGGAGCAUGUGGUUUAAUUCGAUGCAACGCGAAGAACCUUACCUGGUCUUGACAUCCACGGAAGUUUUCAGAGAUGAGAAUGUGCCUUCGGGAACCGUGAGACAGGUGCUGCAUGGCUGUCGUCAGCUCGUGUUGUGAAAUGUUGGGUUAAGUCCCGCAACGAGCGCAACCCUUAUCCUUUGUUGCCAGCGAUUAGGUCGGGAACUCAAAGGAGACUGCCAGUGAUAAACUGGAGGAAGGUGGGGAUGACGUCAAGUCAUCAUGGCCCUUACGACCAGGGCUACACACGUGCUACAAUGGCGCAUACAAAGAGAAGCGACCUCGCGAGAGCAAGCGGACCUCAUAAAGUGCGUCGUAGUCCGGAUUGGAGUCUGCAACUCGACUCCAUGAAGUCGGAAUCGCUAGUAAUCGUGGAUCAGAAUGCCACGGUGAAUACGUUCCCGGGCCUUGUACACACCGCCCGUCACACCAUGGGAGUGGGUUGCAAAAGAAGUAGGUAGCUUAACCUUCGGGAGGGCGCUUACCACUUUGUGAUUCAUGACUGGGGUGAAGUCGUAACAAGGUAACCGUAGGGGAACCUGCGGUUGGAUCACCUCCUUACCUGAAAGAA